UAAGAUUCUAGUAGUUUUUUUGUUGUUGUUGUUAGUAUGCAUACUUAAGAUUCUAGUAUGUUUUUUGUUGUUGUUGUUGUUAGUAUGCAUACUUAAGAUUCUAGUGUUUUUGUUGUUGUUGUUGUUAGUAUGCAUACUUAAGAUUCUAGUAGUUUUUUUGGAUUCUAGUAUGUUUUUUGUAAGUAUGCAUACUUAAGAUUCUAGUAGUUUUUUUUUGUUAGUAUGCAUACUUAAGAUUCUAGUGGGGUUUUUUUGGAUUCUAGUAGUUCUUUUUCUAAGUAUGCAUACUUAAGAUUCUAUGGGGUUUUUUUUGGAUUCUAGUAGUUUUUUUUGGAAGUAUGCAUACUUAAGUUUCUAGUAGGGUUUUUUUGGAUUCUAGUAGUUUUUUUUGUAAGUAUGCAUACAUAAGAUUCUAGUAGUUUUUUUGGAUUCUAGUAGUUUGUUUUUUUAUUUGUAAGUAUGCAUACUUAAGGUUCUAGUAGUUUUUUGUUAGUAUUUGUAUAUAUUUUUGUACCAUGUACGUUUUAUGUUUCUAUGCUUAAACACUUCUUUGUAUUAGUAGAUCAGGGUUAAAUGUUGGGUAAGUUAGUGUUUUUUUACGGGCUGAAAUUAGAAAUAAAUAUGUAAUUUGUGAAGAGUUUCAUUCGUUGCUGGAUUAGCACACACAGCCCACCUAAGAGACUGUUCAGUGAUAAUGGUGGAGAGUUGAACAACGAGGAAAUAAGGGCCAUGGCAGAAAAGUUCAACAUUGAGGUAAAGACCACAGCAGCAUAUAGUCCCUGAAGCAAAUGGUCUUUUAGAGAGACACAAUCAGACCCUCACAGAAAUACUGAUGAAAGUUUAAAAAAAAAAAAAAAAAAGACAAUAAAUAUGACUGGAAAACUGCCCUAGAUUGGGCAUUGAUGGCAAAAAAGUCCAUGCACAAUGUAUAUGGAUUUAGAUAUCAACUUGUGUUUGGAUAAAAUCCAAAUCUACCCUCAAUCUACCAAAUCUACCAAGAGUUGUUAUGGCAGUCACAUGUCAGAAGGUGAACUCCAUAGAUAUCAAAGCCGCUUUUCUACAGGUAAGAGAGUUGAUUAGAAAUGUCUACAUUUACCCUCCUCUAGAAACGCACUGCAAAGGAACCCUGUGGAAGUUGAACAAAUAUGUGUAUGGUUUGGUAGAUGCCUCUCUGUACUGGUACAACAAGCUCAAAGAUACUAUGCAGCAGCUGGGAGGUCACGUGUCACCGGUUGACCCUGCAGUGUUCUACUGGCUGAAUGAUGGUGAUGGACAUGAAGAGCACAACAGCUUCAGUUAUGUACAGGAGGAAUGGAAAUCUCUUCUGGAAAUGGAGAGAUACAUGUACACCAAAGCACAUAUAUAAAGAGUCUUCAGCCCAUUGUUAUAGAUCCGGACAGAGCUGUGCAACGUAACGCUCCACUGACAGACCGUGAGACUGACAUGCUGAGGUCUAAGAUCUCGCAAACAAGCUUAUCAGAAAACUAAAGUCAGGGGAAGUGACUCUAAAAUUUCAGAACCUGGGAAAAGACAGCUCCUGAAACUGGGAAAUCUUCCAGAUGGUCGUACUCAAGGCCAUCUAAUCUUGUUGAUGGGAGAAGAUGGAAAAUUCUCACCUAUCUCUUGGCAGUCUAAGAGAAUCAGAAGAGUUGGCAGGAGAAACUUUGGUGCUUGCUGAUGACAUUGAUAAUGGGAACUGGUUUUCUGCACUCUACUCAGAAAUAAAAACCGGCGACAGCAACAG
ensembl:lncRNA